UAUUGUCACUGGGGGAGCUGGUGAAAACCGGCUGAGAGGAAACGUAAUUCCGUUUCGACCCACUUAAACCUGAUUUGGAUAAUGCCAACGGAGGGAAUGUAUACCAUGUAAUUG
rnacentral:ncRNA from 2 species